CUGCUAAACAUGUUGAAGAUAGUAGAGAGCCAUUUCAAGGGUGAAAAGGCUCUAAUACUUCUUAUCGAUCGGAUCAACAAAAAGAAAGGAAAGAAAGAUUCUAAGAAAAAGAUGAACCCUAAGGCUGGCAUCUCCAAGAAGAAGACGAAGAAAGUCUCCACCAAAGGUACUUGCUAUCACUGUGGUAAGGAGGGCCGGUGG
rnacentral:lncRNA from 1 species